rnacentral:rRNA from 1 species
CAGCUGAUCGCACAGUCCUCGCACUGGCGACGUAUCUUUCAAGUGUCUGCCUUAUCAACUGUCGAUGGUAGUUUACAUGACUACCAUGGUUGUAACGGGUAACGGAGAAUAAGGGUUCGACUCCGGAGAGGGAGCCUGAGAAACGGCUACCACAUCCAAGGAAGGCAGCAGGCGCGCAAAUUACCCAAUCUCAGCUCGAGGAGGUAGUGACGAAAAAUAACGAGACGGUUCUCUAUGAGGUCCGUCAUCGGAAUGGGUACAAUUUAAACCCUUUAACGAGGAUCUAUUGGAGGGCAAGUCUGGUGCCAGCAGCCGCGGUAAUUCCAGCUGCAAUAGCGUAUAUUAAAGUUGUUGCGGUUAAAAAGCUCGUAGUUGGAUCUGCGGCCUCGCGUCCCGGU